rnacentral:rRNA from 1 species
GACGAACGCUGGCGGCGUGCUUAACACAUGCAAGUCGAACGGAAAGGCCCUGCUUUUGUGGGGUGCUCGAGUGGCGAACGGGUGAGUAACACGUGAGUAACCUGCCCUUGACUUUGGGAUAACUUCAGGAAACUGGGGCUAAUACCGGAUAGGAGCUCCUGCUGCAUGGUGGGGGUUGGAAAGUUUCGGCGGUUGGGGAUGGACUGGCGGCUUAUCAGCUUGUUGGUGGGGUAGUGGCUUACCAAGGCUUUGACGGGUAGCCGGCCUGAGAGGGUGACCGGCCAAAUUGGGACUGAGAUACGGCACAGACUCCUACGGGAGGCAGCAGUGGGGAAUAUUGCACAAGGGGCGGAAGCCUGAUGCAGCAACGCCGCGUGCGGGAUGACGGCCUUCGGGUUGUAAACCGCUUUCGCCUGUGACGAAGCGUGAGUGACGGUAAUGGGUAAAGAAGCACCGGCUAACUACGUG